UUCGAUGUCAAUUAAAGAGUAUUUUUGGGUAAUUGGUGUCUUCCCGCCCAUGAGAACACAUUACAUACAUUAAUACCAAACCAUUUUUGAACAAAAUACCCAAAAAUAUCAUUCAACUAACAUUGAAGGAAGUGAAAAAGUGGGACCCAAGCUUGCCACUCAAGCAAAUAACGAAAAUUUUGACGGUGAAGUUAAUGCCAGAACCAUAUUGCAAAAAAUUGAAAAACUUGGGGUAAAAUUGAGAGUGCAUGAACAAACAUACCUCAUGGGUAAGAGUUUAGGGUACUAAAUUGAAAUUAACCCUAAAAGAAAACAUUAUAAUUAGAAGGAUUAUUGCUUAUACACAAAUCUAAGAAUUUUAUUUUUAAUUUUAGGGUUAAUUACAGUUUAGUACCCUAUAGUUACAUCUUUAAGAUAAGUCCUUAUCUUCUCAAUUUUAACAAUCACAUACCUUUGUCUUUUAAAUUCAUUACAAUGUGGUUCUGCCGUUAGGGUUUCUAUAAAAUCUCUCUAUUAGUUGCCUACGUGGCAUUGUGGGUCCCACAUUUUUCAAAUUUUUUAAUAUUUAAUUGAUUAAAAUAUGAAUAAAAUAUUAAAAACAAAAAAAAAAAAAAAAUCUCUCUCUCUCUCUGCAUUCCCCCGAUCAAGCUCCAACACCCAACCCUCAAACCCAUAUCACAGCCACCCUUCACUGCAAUGCAACCACCCAACGCUCCUUCCCCGAUAACCACCACCCUCCAACCCCCAACGAACCCAGAACCCCAAACCCUCCCACAUUAUGUUUUCACCC
rnacentral:lncRNA from 1 species